AAGUGUUUUAGAUUGUACAUGU
rnacentral:miRNA from 1 species